rnacentral:rRNA from 1 species
UCCGGUUGAUCCUGCCGGACCCGACUGCUAUCGGGGUAGGGCUAAGCCAUGGGAGUCGAACGCCCUGCUGCUGCAGGGCGUGGCGCACGGCUGAGUAACACGUAGCUAACCUACCCUCAGGAGGGGGAUAACCUCACGGGAAACUGGGGCUAAUCCCCCAUAGGCGGGGAGGCCUGGAAGGGUUCCCCGCCGAAAGGGAGUAUAGGGGGUCACCACCUAUACUCCGCCUGAGGAUGGGGCUGCGGCCUAUCAGGCUGUUGGCGGGGUAACGGCCCGCCAAACCGAAGACGGGUAGGGGCCGUGAGAGCGGGAGCCCCCAGAUGGGCACUGAGACAAGGGCCCAGGCCCUACGGGGCGCACCAGGCGCGAAAACUCCGCAAUGCGGGAAACCGUGACGGGGCUACCCCGAGUGCCCUCCUUGUGGGGGCUUUUCCCCGCUGUAAACAGGCGGGGGAAUAAGCGGGGGGCAAGUCUGGUGUCAGCCGCCGCGGUAAUACCAGCCCCGCGAGUGGUCGGGGUGCUUACUGGGCCUAAAGCGGCCGUAGCCGGCCUGGCAAGUCUCCCCUGAAAGCCUCGGGCUCAACCCGAGGACCGGGGAGAUACUACCGGGCUAGGGGGCGGGAGAGGCCGAGGGUACUCCCGGGGUAGGGGCGAAAUCCUAUAAUCCCGGGAGGACCACCAGUGGCGAAGGCGCUCGGCUGGACCGCGCCCAACGGUGAGGGCCGAAAGCCGGGGGAGCGAACCGGAUUAGAUACCCGGGUAGUCCCGGCUGUAAACGAUGCGGGCUAGGUGUUAGGCGAGCGAAAGGGCUCGCCUAGUGCCACAGGGAAGCCGUUAAGCCCGCCGCCUGGGGAGUACGGCCGCAAGGCUGAAACUUAAAGGAAUUGGCGGGGGAGCACACAAGGGGUGGAGCCUGCCGGCUUAAUUGGAGUCACGCCGGGAAUCUUACCGGGGGCGACAGCAGGAUGACGGCCAGGUUAAAGGCCUUGCCCGACACGCUGAGGGGAGGUGCAUGGCCGUCGCCAGCUCGUGCCGUGAGGUGUCCUGUUAAGUCAGGCAACGAGCGCGACCCCCACCCCUAGUUGCUACCCUGGGGGAGACCCUGGGGGCAACUCUAGGGGGACUGCCGCCGCUAAGGCGGAGGAAGGAGGGGGCCACGGCAGGUCAGCAUGCCCCUAAUCCCCCGGGCUGCACGCGGGCUACAAUGGCGGGGACAGCGGGAUCCGACCCCGAAAGGGGGAGGCAAUCCCUUAAACCCCGCCGCAGUUGGGAUCGGAGGCUGAAACUCGCCUCCGUGAACGGGGAAUCCCUAGUACCCGCGCGUCAACAUCGCGCGGUGAAUACGUCCCUGCUUCUUGCACACACCGCCCGU